GAUGAACGCUGGCGGCGUGCCUAAUACAUGCAAGUCGAGCGAACAGAUGAGGAGCUUGCUCCUCUGACGUUAGCGGCGGACGGGUGAGUAACACGUGGAUAACCUACCUAUAAGACUGGGAUAACUUCGGGAAACCGGAGCUAAUACCGGAUAAUAUAUUUAACCGCAUGGUUCAAUAGUGAAAGACGGUUUUGCUGUCACUUAUAGAUUGAUCCGCGCCGCAUUAGCUAGUUGGUAAGGUAACGGCUUACCAAGGCAACGAUGCGUAGCCGACCUGAGAGGGUGAGCGGCCACACUGGAACUGAGACACGGUCCAGACUCCUACGGGAGGCAGCAGUAGGGAAUCUUCCGCAAUGGGCGAAAGCCUGACGGAGCAACGCCGCGUGAGUGAUGAAGGUCUUCGGAUCGUAAAACUCUGUUAUUAGGGAAGAACAAAUGUGUAAGUAACUAUGCACGUCUUGACGGUACCUAAUCAGAAAGCCACGGCUAACUACGUG
rnacentral:rRNA from 1 species